GUCAGUAACUCGCCUUGAACUUGGUUCCCGGAGACUCUAAACUGCUGUUGGAACUCUGGUGGAUGAAUCCUGGCUGGCCCAAGUGAAUCAUGCAGGGAUAUGCCAACAGCAUGCUCUCCUGCCCGUGACUGGCUGCACGAGGAUGUGACCUUUGCUGCCACUGUGUUCAUCCAGUGACUAAAGGCAUAUGUCUGAGCAGCCAUCACACUGGAAUGAAAGCAAAUGAAUCCCUGACGGUGUCACUGAGGCGCUGAACUAAGCAAUCCAGACACCGUUUCCCUCUCAAGCUGCAGUUUCCACAGGUUGAAAGUCGCUGCUUGAAUAAUCUGAGAAGUCUUCCAGGUCCAGCAACAAUACUUAACUAAUCAGGAGUGUGUGCUGUAGGGAAGAUCAGGAUGUGGUGGUUCUCACGUCUCCUCCAGCACAAUGUGUGUGCCCCAUGCUUCCUGCUAUGAUGAAAAUGGAUCAGACCUCUGAAACUCUAAGCAACUCUUAUAUAACUCUUCUUAUAUAAGAGUUGUGUUGGUCAGGUUUCUUCACAGCAAUAAAACAGUAACUAAGACACCUACCUAUGUC